CACACCCGUCUCUCUCACUCAGGCCUUCAGGAGCCUAUAAGGCAACUCAGCACACCUGUGUUUGGGAUAAUCUCUACAAACAAAGACCUCAUCUUUAAGCUCCUGCAGAAACACCACUGGUUUUCAACCUGCUUGGGUGUCAUGUAUUGGAAAGUACAGUGAUUUAAA